AGGUGAGAGGUGAGUCAGGAGGAAGUAGAGAGGAGACAUUGCUGGAACUGGCAGUAGAUACGAGAAACCCGCAUAGCUCAGAUGACCAAUGAAGAUGGAGGAGGACCAGAGUCACAUGACCGAGAGGAUACUAAACUUCACCCUGGAGAUCAUCUACCUGCUGACUGGAGAGAGAUUUCCUCUUGUGAAGUCAGGUGAUCAUAUGACCAU